AGGUGAACACUCCUCAGACGAACUUCAGCAGCAGAUUCUCCACAAACAAACACGCAGCAGGAGGAGGAGGAGGACACAUGGAGCCGCAGCCAAUUACCCAACCCACCCACUGGGACUCGCCCCAACAUACCAGGAGGGUGAAGACUAACACAUGCCUCCUCCGAUACAUGUGAAGUCAGCCACCGCCUCUUUUCGAGCUGCUAAUGCAGCAUUACCGAGCAGCCAGAGCGCUUGGAGGACAGCGCAGCGGCUCGGCUCCGGUACAUCAGCUCACAGAUGCCCUGCGCUGCAGACAUCACCAUAGGAUUGAUGUGGGGAGAGAGCGCCAUCUACCCACCUGGAGGGAGCAGGGCCAAUUUUGCUCCCGCUAACGCCAGCAGAUUGAUGGCAAAGGUUCGAACCUGCGACCUCCCGCUCAUAGUGGCAGCGCUUUAGACCGCUGGACCACUCGGCGCCGCUACAAGUGUAGUUAAUACAAAGUUCUUUUUCUCUGCUGUUUUCAGUUGUUUACAUUCUGAAACUUUGAGGGCUUUAGAGACUCCUACAGGAAACUUGCCUUGGAGGACAUGAAAUGUUUGAUUUGUAUUCAGUAGAGUAUUAAUUUUUAAAAUCAAGUUGAAAAAGAAGUGCAAAUUUUAUGAUUUUUAUUUAUUAUAUUUUGACUGUUGUAAAUUUACUUUUACGUUUUGUUUUUAAAUAUUUUCUAUUACAAUUACGAUUGGGAUUUUCAAUAACAAUUCUUAUUAAACAUGGAACCUUUUUAACCUAAUGCAUGAAUAAAAAUAGUCAAGAUUUGGGUGUGUAAUAUCAGGCAGAAAAAUUACAAGAAUGUGGACCUGUUAAGGUUUUUUUUGUUAACUCCAAAUGGGUAGAGAACAGAAGGAUGAGUAUCUGAGUAUGCUGGGUUUUUAAAAAUAUUUGUUUAAAAAUUGUUUUAACAUAUAACAAAUAUAGCAAACAUGUCUACCUUUUGGAAUCAGUUCUUUUCUUCACUACUGUAAGUAAUUUGUAAGUGUAAUUAAAUCACAUUUUAGUUUUUUUGAGUAUCUGAUUCACCCAGUAGGGAGAAAUGAAUGAUAAAUGCACAUUUUCUC